rnacentral:misc_RNA from 1 species
GAUGAAGAACGUAGCGAAAUGCGAUAAGUAAUGUGAAUUGCAGAAUUCAGUGAAUCAUCGAAUCUUUGAACGCACAUUGCGCCCGCCAGUAUUCUGGCGGGCAUGCCUGUCUGAGCGUCAUUUCAACCCUCAUGCCCCUAGGGCGUGGUGUUGGGGAUCGGCCAAAGCCCGCGAGGGACGGCCGGCCCCUAAAUCUAGUGGCGGACCCGUCGUGGCCUCCUCUGCGAAGUAGUGAUUUUCCGCAUCGGAGAGCGAUGAGCCCCUGCCGUUAAACCCCCAACUUUCCAAGGUUGACCUCAGAUCAGGUAGGAAUACCCGCUGAACUUAAGCAUAUCAAUAAGCGGAGGA